UGGAAAAGUACAGGAUUCUGACUUGAACCUACCCUGAGAGACUAAUUUUUAUUAUUUAAUUAUAAAUAUAAUAUGUAUAUAUAAAUAUCAUGGAUCUAUCAAUAUGAAUGAUUAUUGAAAUUAUUUCCAUUUGAGAACUACCCUCUGUUUAAAAUUGAAAAAUAAUAACAUAAUACAACAUUUAUAGAGAUUUUAUAAUAACCAACGACUGAGGAGUUGGCCUAUUGGCGUGUGCCUCUCAACCCUGGGGGUCUACCAUGAGCUCUUAUUGCGAGACUAAUGACAACCUACGACUGCUUAUUCGUACCCACGUGACGGUAAUCAGGUUUCGUUCAUUCAUUUCGUUUCGUUUUAUAUGACAAUUCGUACCGUGACCGCUGAACCAAAAUAUGACAGUUGGGCCUUCGAACUAUGACAGAACAAGCGAUUCUAGAAAAGUUACUUUUCUUUCAACUUUUUUUGUGUGGAAAGUGUCCAAAUAUUAAUUUAAUAUUUAUUUUCGAAGUUAAAAUAAGUUUGUUAGAAUGACAGAUAUCGCGCGUUUUUUGAGUUUGUUGAAUUGGAUUAUAAGGAAAUACAGAAUAAAUAACUACGAGGACAGGAAUUCCGACGACAAACCGACCCUUUAGAUCUGAUUGAUUCGUAUUUCAAAGGAUCUAUAGAUAUGUCGACUGAGCAAAAGAUUCUACCAAAAAUGUUGCAUGCCUGGUGUAUUGGGAUGUAUAGACUGCAAAUUGCUAUUAUCAGACCAGCCAUACAUGAAGAAAGAUCAUUCAUUAAACAUUCCAUUGAUUUGUGAUGCAGAAAUGCAAAUAUUACCAACGUGGCAACUAGGUUAUAUUGAUUUAUUUCUAUCGAGUGACUACUGUUAAAACUUUUCCUGUGGUGGGCCAUUAUGGAAAUGACAUAAAAUCAAUUUUUAAUACGGUUUCUGGCACACCCGAGAGUCAU